GGUUUUGAUCCUGAAAGACGCUUGUUUGAGCCGUGAGGAGGAUUCUGUGCACGAUGACCUUUGACCCUGUAAACAGCUCAGACUGAGACUCAGUCGACCAGUCAGACUGGACUUUGCUGGUGACGUGAGGACACACCCUCUGUGAUGAAGAACAACAAGCUCUAACAAGCUGCGUCACCUGGAAGCUGAAGUGAAGCACGGAGCUCCUUUUCUACACGGACCUGCUGAGGACAGAAGAGAGCUGCUCACUGAGGAACUUCAUGUCUACAAGAUCAGUAAGUGGAGCUGUGAUUGGAUGAAUGAUCAUCGAUGGUCGUGGACGUGUGAUUGUUUAAAGCUGGGAAACAAGAUGGCGCCUGUGUGAGCAGGCAGAGAGGAGCUGCUGUUGGUCUGAAUGAUGAAGAAGAGGAGCUCAGUCUGAUCUGGGGUCUGUGAGGACUGUUACUGAUGAGGAGGGGAAGGUAGCAGACGGAGGGGCACUAGGACCCAGCAGGGACCACAGAGCUCACCUGGGCCUUUGUUCCUGAAACACACCUGAGAGACUGUUUGUCUCACCUGCUGCUUCAGUCCUUUAAGUCCACGAAGCUUCAUGUUCAUUUCUUCAUCUGCUUUAAACACAUUUAGUCACUUUGUUGUGACUGUGUUUGUUUUCUUCAGUCUUCAGUUUUUCUCUCAUUGAUCAGCAGCUUGUAGUCGACCUUUUACUAACUGAUCACAUGGUGAAGUGAACCGUCCAUCAGGAGAGAGCUUUCCCAUGUUGCCAUGGUAACCAGUGUGUCACCUUACUGGUCUGUUUCACUGACUUCUGGACUCUGAAGGACAUCAAGAGGAGAAACAGCACAGCGCCAUCUGCUGGAAGACGAGUGAUCAUGUUCACCUGGUAAAACACGACAUUUACAGGAUGAGCGUUUAUAAUGACGUCUCCUGUUAACAGGGUUUAAAGAAGGAAAAGGACGUUCGUCUUUCUCCAGAAGUCUAAACUUUAACAGACAACAACACAAAGUGUCCCGUGAGAGUUUCAUUGUUGAGGUGGAUGAGCUCUGUGUGUUUGUCCUGAUGAAGAUAAAGAACACGUGAGCUCUCCCAGCAGGUUGGUGUGAAGGUCUGAAGGUGUGGACUCUGCUAUGAAUCAGGGUGAGGACCCAGAGGACGGAGUCCGUCCCUCUGAAGCUCCUCUGUGUGGGGAACAUGACAGCCUGACCAAAGCUCAGAGAAUCCAACAGACCAGGACCUGAUCCUGGAUCUGGACCUGAACCCAGCUGUGUGUCCGUGAAGAGUAACCGGUCCAUGAGGCCUCCUCUCAAGUGUGUAACCGUGGUUUAGACAUUGGGGGGUCGACGGUGGGGUGGACGCUAUGGGGGUUUCCAGAGCCCCUUGCGUGUCCCUUGCGUGUCUUUUCGUCGACCCAUUUUUCUAGACUAGCGUUUAUUAAAAGGAAGAACGUUUACGAGAGAACGGAUCAGACCGAAGAGCUUUACGCAUUUCUUCCCUCAAAAGUUCUUCAAUCUGAUCCGUUCUCUCGUAAACGUUCUUCCUCUUAAUAACGGCCGUAUCGUGCUGUGAAGACGGAGACGUGAGACUCUAAAGGACGUAGUCAGUGGACCAAUCACAGCCUGCUGCUGCAGGACGCUGCAAAGCUUUACACGCAAGGAGGUGUGAAAAGACACGCGGGGGACUCUUGCGUGUCCCUCGCGUCGCUCUGAACACGCAGAAGCAUAAACGAGGCUUAAGACGAGUCUCAAAAAAAACUCACACAAAUGUGACGCGAUCCGCAAAUAUAAAUCAUAAUUUAUUGAAGUGCGUUGAAAUGCUUUUGUGUUUAUAAAUCAAAUUGAAUUUGUGAGUCGUUCUGUGCGCAACUAUUGAGCCUGAUUGGACCACAUGUACAUUAAUGUGUGUGUGUAAAUGUGUGUGUGUGUGUGUGUAUAUAUG
ensembl:lncRNA